rnacentral:lncRNA from 1 species
ACUGAGAAACAACGGGUGUGUAUCAUUAGGUCAGACAUGCAUCACUAUACUUGACAUUGCAUUUCAUUGCAUUGCACUUCUUUAUUAUUGGUGAGCUUGAUCUUGUGUGUUGCUAAUCUUGUGAGUGCCUUUCUAUGAAACUUGUGACUGAUGAAUAUUGGGCUUAUUGUUGAAGAUAUGCAAUUGUUAGAGUGCUGUUGUUGAGGAUAUGAAUUGAAACUAUUGAUGUUGUUGAGGAUAUGACAUUGUUAGAGUGUUGUGUUGAGCUAUGUGCUUUGUAAACUGUGAACUGUUAUGUUGGGCUGGUACUAAGCAGGUUGUAGUUGUGGAGGUGGUAAAUUGAUAAAUAUUGAGCUUGUUGUUGAGAAUAUAUGAUUUGUUAGAAUGUUGUUGUUGAGAUAUGUGCUUGUAAAUUGUGAAUUGUUAGGUUGGGCUGGUUUUAUACAGAUUGUAGUUGUGAAGGUUCGGUUGGGGUGUAAGGAGUACUUGUAUUCUAUCCCCUUAGCUCGUGUUUAGAGGUUUACUUGUUGAGUACCGUGUGGUUUGGUAGUCACUCCUUGCUUCUACAAAUUUUGUAGGUUACGAGCCUGGAUUUUUGUGGUACUUGUCAUUCUCUUCUUUUCCAAGGCUUCUGGGAGAUUUGUGAGGUAGUUGUUUGUCUUCUCAGCGAUCCUUCUUACUCCUGUUUAUGAUCUUGUUCUACUCUAGAAACAAUGUCAUAUGAGACUUGUAUUUUUCUUUUGAUUUAAUUGUAAUACUUUAGAGGCUUGUACACGUGACAACCAGAUUUUGGGGGUAUAUUUGAGUUUAUUAUAAAAAAAUUUCGCAUUUUAUUG